rnacentral:rRNA from 1 species
GGAGCUUGCUCCGCUGACGAGUGGCGAACGGGUGAGUAAUGUAUCGGAGCGUACCUUUCAGUGGGGGAUAACGUAGCGAAAGUUACGCUAAUACCGCAUAUUCUGUGAGCAGGAAAGCUGGGGAUCGCAAGACCUUGCGCUGAUUGAGCGGCCGAUAUCAGAUUAGCUAGUUGGUGAGGUAAAGGCUCACCAAGGCGACGAUCUGUAGCGGGUCUGAGAGGAUGAUCCGCCACACUGGAACUAAGACACGGUCCAGACUCCUACGGGAGGCAGCAGUGGGGAAUUUUGGACAAUGGGGGCAACCCUGAUCCAGCCAUGCCGCGUGAGUGAAGAAGGCCUUCGGGUUGUAAAGCUCUUUCGGCCGGGAAGAAAUCGUAUGGGUUAAUACCCUGUGCGGAUGACGGUACCGGCAUAAGAAGCACCGGCUAACUACGUGCCAGCAGCCGCGGUAAUACGUAGGGUGCGAGCGUUAAUCGGAAUUACUGGGCGUAAAGCGUGCGCAGGCGGUUUUGUAAGACAGGCGUGAAAUCCCCGGGCUCAACCUGGGAACUGCGCUUGUGACUGCAAGGCUAGAGUAUGGCAGAGGGGGGUGGAAUUCCACGUGUAGCAGUGAAAUGCGUAGAGAUGUGGAGGAACACCAAUGGCGAAGGCAGCCCCCUGGGCCAAUACUGACGCUCAUGCACGAAAGCGUGGGUAGCAAACAGGAUUAGAUACCCUGGUAGUCCACGCCCUAAACGAUGUCAACUAGGUGUUGGGUGGGUAAAACCAUUUAGUACCGGAGCUAACGCGUGAAGUUGACCGCCUGGGGAGUACGGCCGCAAGGUUAAAACUCAAAGGAAUUGACGGGGACCCGCACAAGCGGUGGAUGAUGUGGAUUAAUUCGAUGCAACGCGAAAAACCUUACCUACCCUUGACAUGUCCAGGAGCCUGAAGAGAUUUGGGUGUGCCCGAAAGGGAACUGGAACACAGGUGCUGCAUGGCUGUCGUCAGCUCGUGUCGUGAGAUGUUGGGUUAAGUCCCGCAACGAGCGCAACCCUUGUCGUUAAUUGCCAUCAUUUAGUUGGGCACUUUAACGAGACUGCCGGUGACAAACCGGAGGAAGGUGGGGAUGACGUCAAGUCCUCAUGGCCCUUAUGGGUAGGGCUUCACACGUCAUACAAUGGUCGGUACAAAGGGUUGCCAACCCGCGAGGGGGAGCCAAUCCCAGAAAGCCGAUCGUAGUCCGGAUUGCAGGCUGCAACUCGCCUGCAUGAAGUCGGAAUCGCUAGUAAUCGUGGAUCAGCAUGUCACGGUGAAUACGUUCCCGGGUCUUGUACACACCGCCCGUCACACCAUGGGAGCGGGUUCCGCCAGAAGUAGGUAGCCUAACC